UAGGGAAUCUUCCACAAUGGACGCAAGUCUGAUGGAGCAACGCCGCGUGAGUGAAGAAGGCUUUCGGGUCGUAAAACUCUGUUGUUGGAGAAGAAUGGUCGGCAGAGUAACUGUUGUCGGCGUGACGGUAUCCAACCAGAAAGCCACGGCUAACUACGUGCCAGCAGCCGCGGUAAUACGUAGGUGGCAAGCGUUAUCCGGAUUUAUUGGGCGUAAAGCGAGCGCGGGCGGUUUUUUAAGUCUGAUGUGAAAGCCCUCGGCUUAACCGAGGAAGCGCAUCGGAAACUGGGAAACUUGAGUGCAGAAGAGGACAGUGGAACUCCAUGUGUAGCGGUGAAAUGCGUAGAUAUGUGGAAGAACACCAGUGGCGAAGGCGGCUGUCUGGUCUGUAACUGACGCUGAGGCUCGAAAGCAUGGGUAGCGAACAGGAUUAGAUACCCUGGUAGUCCAUGCCGUAAACGAUGAAUGCUAGGUGUUGGAGGGUUUCCGCCCUUCAGUGCCGCAGCUAACGCAUUAAGCAUUCCGCCUGGGGAGUACGACGCAAGGUUGAA
rnacentral:rRNA from 1 species